UGUAUAGAAAGAUUAUCAAAGCAAUUGUAAUGUUUAUGGCUUUUCAAUUCUCCAGAAAUAUAUGGAGGUAUAGACACACAGUGCUAUUACCUUGGGGAAACUAUUAGAGGUUGCUUCAUGCAACGAUAAGGACUUUUAUUCAUCAAGAGUAAUUACCUCUAUCUUCAUAAGAAGUGAGAAGAUGACAGUAAGAAUUACUGUGUCACACAGGGAGGUGAUGAUGGCAGGAGCGUCACUGCCUCAGCUGGAAUGAGAGCUCCAGAAUUAUUGUGGGCAUAUCCCAAGGUUCCAACUAGCAAGAACCCUGGUAGUUCUACCUGGCAAUGCCAUUCCAUUGGAAUCCCAGAAGCUGCUCUGCCAUCUGUCUAUAUGCUGAAUAUCACAUCAGCCUGUUAUAAGCAUGAGUCAAAGUGGAGGUGAGAAGGUGGUCUGUUCGUUGGCCCAGGCUUCUUCAAGAGUGCUCUAAGGCAACACAUCUUCCCAUUGCAGUGCAGUGUUGUACCAAGGGAUGAGACAUUGGAGCAAGAUGCAGUAGAGGCUACAAAGAAGGAACGAAGAAAGAAGUGCAUCUGGGCUUGUAUCCAAUUGGAUUACUGUCAACCUCUUCCAGCUGAGAAGGGAAAAGACAGAUGUAUUGAUGGUCACUGAAAUGAGAUGGAACAAAAGACAACAACCUGAGCAGAGAAGAAAAGAUGAUCACAUGGACCAGGAGCUAACUGGACACACAGACACUAACUGGAGAAUCUGGGAACUGCAAUCUUAUUUUCUUUGCCUUGUAUGGUGAGAUCCACAGUGAGCAAAAUAUGUCUCUUUGUUGACGUCUUGACUAAGUUGACGUUCUUUUGUGUUUUUAUUUGUUGAAUUUUUUUUUUAAUUAAUGCUAUAAAAUGAACAAACACUUUGUGUUAUCUCUCAUCAUCAACAGAAUCACAGGCUGGAAAAGACCACUAAGAUCACCAAGUCCAACCACAGUCUAUUCCACCAUGACCAAUGACCACAUCCCUACGUAGAAUCAUUGUAUCAUUAAGGCUGGAAAAGAACACUAAGAUGGCCAAUUGCAAGUCCAACCCAUCCCACCAUGCCCAGUAACCACGUCCCUCAUGGCCACGUCCCCACAGUUCUGGAACAUCUCCAGGGAUGGUGACUGCACCACCUCCCUGGGAAGCUUGUGUCAAUGCAUCACCACGUGUUUAGAGAAGAAAUUGUUCCUAAUAUCCAACCUGAACUUCCCUUGGUGCAACUCGGAGUUGUCACCACUCCUUCCAACACUGUCAGCUGGGAAAUGAGGCUGACCCUCUGUAUGGGAACUGCUGAACCACGGCCUGAACCUCUGAUUGAUCACCUGAGGUGAGCAAUGAGCCAGCCACAGGAACACAGGUGAAGGCAAUUCAGCUGUGCUGCCGGAAGGGUUGAAGCCUGGUUCCACCUCUCCUAGACCCAUUUAAGAGCUGACUACCAGUGAGGAAGGAUCUCUUUUGGAGAUCUACUCCACUGGAAUUUCCUAAGUGAGCCCAGGAUACAAGCAAAGAAGGAGAGCAGCUCUGUUGCAGCUGACCUGUCUCACAGCACUGAAGCUGGACGGGAGGCCCCUGUGUUGUGUUGCCCAACUCUGAGGCAGUUUUUCCUCCCUGUCUGGUGCAGACUGUGCACUCUCUCCAUAUGAUCCCUGUCACGUGCUCCCAAGACCUGCAAGUAUUUCUCUUAUAGUGGGUUACACCCCUUGACAGUAUUCUUUGGCUGGGGGUUGUGAAUUCUGAACUUCUCUUCCUAGGCCAGGUUAUUUCCCUGGAAAUAUUCAGGAGAUGCUCAAGUAAGAGCUGGUUCAAGCACUGCUGAAUCUGCAAGGGGAGUCCUAUUCAGUUCUGAAAGAUUUUGUGUUGUAAGCUGCUUGUCCACAAGUUUCUGUUUUAUUUCUUGAUGUGAAUUAAGACACCAUCUUCAAUACACGAAGUCCUGUCCCCUGUCAGCCCUCCAGCUGUAUUUACAUCCCUCUGCUCCAUCUGUCCGCGAUGGAUCUCGGAACAACCUCUCUUGGAAUCAGUUUUCAAUUUAAGAGGUGCAAUUAGCUUAGCUAUCUUGUUAGGUAUUGAAAGGUGGCAAGCAGGAAAUGUGAAGAUUUUCAUAGUGCAUUAACACAGCAGUGAUAAAUACCCUUAAGAACUCGUUCACUAUUUGAACGUGUCACGGGUUGAAGGAGAACUGAAAGGAGCAGCAGAGCCAUUCCAGACCUGUGCCUCUGGGAAGGAACCAAUUGGUUUUCAGCUCACGCGCUGGAAGAGAGAGGAGAAAUCCCCUGGAAGUGCCCAGUGCUCCAAGCAGUGACGUGCAGCCCUUUGCUGCCUGCAGCCAGAGGUCCCAGUUUGCCCUGCAACCUGCAGCAAGCCUUUCAGCACUCCAAGGCUGUCAGAUGAACUCUGUGAUUGUGCUUCAUCCUGUUGAGGUAGAGAUUAUUGAAAGUGUAUUUAUUUUUUUUUCAGUCUGGCUUCUAAGAAGCAUUGUGCAGCUAUCUGCUGUGUCAAUCUGUCACACAGACUGUGGCUUUUGAAGGUGUCUGCACAAGAGCUGCUAUCCACCCUGCAAAAAUGGAGGGGUAUGGAGUUUUCAUGGCUAUGUCCUUUCUGGGCAAUGAUGGCAGUGGGUCAGAUGAAUGGAGCUGUCACUAUUUCCAUUCUUCUCUUUCCUUUUUGCUCUUACACGAGGAAGUCGUGUUGACCAAGGGAAAACUCAGCUGAAGUCUGCACAUCAGUGGCGCAGCAUAUCACAAAUAAAAGGUGCCAGAUAAAUUGGGGCUGCCUGUAGGAUUGGCUGCAGUUGGCCGUUUGCAUUGGUAGAAUCACAGAGUCAUUGAGGUUCAAAAAGAUCUCUAAGAUAAUCAAGUCCAACUGUCCGCCUACCACCAAUAUUGCCCACUAAACCAUGUCCCUAAGUACCACAUCUGUCCUUUCCUUAGGCACCUCCAGGGACAGAUACUCCACCACCACCCUGGAUAGUUUGUUCCACUACCUCACCACUCCUUCUGAGAAAAAAUUCUUCCCAAUUCCCAACCUGAGCUUCCUAUCAGGCUGUAUGUGCACGAACACACCAAGCAGCAGCUUUAAAGGAUGUCUGAAAGUGAAACCGAAGGAGAACAGGAUGAAGAAUUUCCCAGUGAUGAAGGGAAGGUCAUCACACGAAAAGCUAAAUGUCAUAUUUGUUGCUCAACUUAGUACCAUUACAUCUGGAAAAAUGUAGCUCUUCAGCUCUGCCACUGAAAUAAACUGAAGUCAAACAGAAGUCCUUGAGUGCAAACACACAGAUCAGAAUUAAAUUUCCUUCUAACUCCUGGGUAAUAGAGUUCUGUCGAAGCCAGGAGUCAAUUAAGUGGAUAAAUACACACGUAGUUCACUAACACUUAGCAUUUCUGCGGUAUUUUGCUGAAGUAAGCACUUAAUGUGAUUAUUGUGUUUCAGCCUGAUUUAAGAUGACAAGUUUUGCAUUUCCUAAAUAUUAAUUAGCCCUGAAUUUCUAUUUAUUUAAACUCUGAGGCAGUGAGUGGGUAGUUGUGUGAUUUACCUCUACCUCCUGGCACUUAUCUCAACUGGGACAUUUGAAAUGCAAUUCUAAACAAUUAGCCUUCAUGCCUGUCAGCAUAAAGAAUGAAGAAUUGAGCUUGUUUUGUUUAUUUGCAGGAAUGAUCCUCAUACAAACUACAUCUACAACAAAUGCAGGGAUCUGCUUGUUUGCAGCAGACUGCAGGAUUAGGGGUUUUUUUGAUACCCAAUAAUAGAAAAACAAUAGAUUUUUAGAUAGGGAUUUUGUUAUUUAUUUUUUCAGGGCUGGGCUAUCUCCUUAGGGCUGGCUUUUAGGGACAGUACCAAAGGCACAUGGUGUUGAAUGGCUUGUGUUGUGCUGCUGGGGUAAAGCACUCGGGUGCUUGCCCAGCAGGAAAUGCUUUAGCUGGUUGAAUAAUGCCCUUGGAAUGGGAAUGAGAGAGAUGGAUCUGCAGUAGUCCACUGCUGGGCUGGGGCUGCUGCCAUGCAUGUGAAGAAAUCCAUUUCCACAACAGGAGAGCCCUUGCCGUAU